rnacentral:lncRNA from 1 species
AUAGACGUCAGAACAUCUGGCUUGGUUUUGUGAAACCAGACAAUCUUAUUGGGAUAAUUGCUUUUGGUAUUUGCAAUUCCUUGAUGGUUAACGAUAUCAAGUGAUUUCUUAUUUUUGAUGGCCAUUUGUACGUCUUCAUUUGAGAAGUAUCUAUAACUCCUUUCCCCAAGUUUCACUUGUGUUGCUUGUUUUUCACUAAGAUUUCUGAGUUUAAAAAGAAAAAUAUUGCAGGUAUUAACUCUGGUGAGUAAUUAGAAAACUGCAUGCAUUCGCUUUGUAUUGUAUUGACUUCUUGGUAUGAAAAAAGUAUUUUGUUUUUGGUUAUCUCACUUUUCUUUGUUUAUUUUUCUUCCUGUUCUUUUGGGGUGCUUUACUAAAAUUCUAUGAUCAUAUUGCCUAUGUUUAAUUCUAGCAAUUUAAGAGGUUCAGUUGUUAUAUUUCAGUAUUUAAGUUAUGUUGACUUUGAUUCCUGAUGGAAACAGUCAAUAGCAACAAUAGAGUCCUUUUUUGUAAGUAAACUCUAGCAUUUGCAAUGCCAUUUAUUAAACAGAUGUAGUUUCAUUAACAAUCAUUUUUGCUUUGUAAUUCCGUAUUUCUAAAAUUCUUAUCCUAGUUCAGUAAUCUGUAUUUCUGUCUUUCUAUUUUUUAAUGAAUUUUCUCCUAUUUUGAUUAAUGCAGUUUUGAAGAAAUUAUCAGAAUCUCCUUUUACAAAACCACUAUCACCUAGAAAUAAGAGAAAUGUAAAGAUUUGAAAACAAUAAAAGCAAAACAAAAAAUAGUGCUAAUAUACUUGAUAGAAAUAGACAAAAAAAAACUGAUUGAAAUACAAACUGAGCCCAACAGUAAAUUAAAAAGAUAGUUAGUCAAAAUCAAGUACAAUCCAGCCCAUGUAUUCUAGAAGAACUCAAAAUAUGAUUAUUUACUACCAGAGUAUAGCACAUGAACUGACUGAAAGGACAUUUGAAAAAUUCAGCAAUACUUCAGAAUAUACAAUCACCAUAUAAAAAUGUAGCCAAGAUCUUCGGGGGGGGGCUUCCUCUGUCAUAUAUGAUCCACAUCACUCUUGAAGGGGUUCAAAACCUUCUCUUUUUUGCUAAUAACACAAAUACAGUGCCGUUCUCCAAAAAGAGUAUGUCCUAGGUCCAAUAACCUGAAGUCAUCAAAGGUACAGAUUGAUUCAACUUAGCAACCUUCUUUGUCUUUAGAUUUACUCUAUCUUGAUCUCUCUUCCAGAGAAUUUUUAAUAUCAUAACCACCAAACUUAUAACCACACACAGUUUGAUAAUUAUAUUUCAAAGCAAUUAAAACAUUCUAAGCAAAUAUUAUCCAUCAAGACUGUUCUUU